rnacentral:rRNA from 1 species
AUUGAACGCUGGCGGCAGGCUUAACACAUGCAAGUCGAACGAGCGGAGGACGGGUGAGUAAUGUCUGGGAAACUGCCUGAUGGAGGGGGAAAACUACUGGAAACGGUAGCUAAUACCGCAUACCAUCCGUUGUGCCCAGGUGGCAUUAGCUAGUCGGUGGGGUAAUGGCUCACCAAGGGGACGAUCCCUAGCUGGCCUGAGAGGAUGACCAGCCACACUGGAACUGAGACACGGUCCAGACUCCUACGGGAGGCAGCAGUAGGGAAUAUUGCGCAAUGGGCGAAAGCCUGAUGGAGCAAUGCCGCGUGUGUGAAGAAGGCCUUCGGGUUGUAAAGCACUGUCAGCGAGGAGGCGUUACUCGCACAAGAAGCACCGGCUAACUCCGUGCCAGCAGCCGCGGUAAUAC